UGCCAGCAGCCGCGGUAACACGGGGGCGCAAGCGUUAUUCGGAAUUAUUGGGCGUAAAGGGCGCGCAGGCGGUCUUGUCAGUCAGGUGUGAAAGCCCGGGGCUCAACCCCGGAUGGUCACUUGAAACAGCAAGACUUGAGUACGGGAGAGGAGAGAGGAAUUCCUGGUGUAGAGGUGAAAUUCGUAGAUAUUCGGAGGAACACCAGUGGCGAAGGCGGCUUUCUGGACCGAUACUGACGCUGAGACGCGAAAGCGUGGGGAGCAAACAGGAUUAGAUA
rnacentral:rRNA from 1 species